rnacentral:rRNA from 1 species
CAGUCGAACGAUGAAGCCCUUCGGGGUGGAUUAGUGGCGAACGGGUGAGUAACACGUGGGCAAUCUGCCCUUCACUCUGGGACAAGCCCUGGAAACGGGGUCUAAUACCGGAUAAUACUCCUGCCUGCAUGGGCGGGGGUUAAAAGCUCCGGCGGUGAAGGAUGAGCCCGCGGCCUAUCAGCUUGUUGGUGGGGUAAUGGCCCACCAAGGCGACGACGGGUAGCCGGCCUGAGAGGGCGACCGGCCACACUGGGACUGAGACACGGCCCAGACUCCUACGGGAGGCAGCAGUGGGGAAUAUUGCACAAUGGGCGAAAGCCUGAUGCAGCGACGCCGCGUGAGGGAUGACGGCCUUCGGGUUGUAAACCUCUUUCAGCAGGGAAGAAGCGAAAGUGACGGUACCUGCAGAAGAAGCGCCGGCUAACUACGUGCCAGCAGCCGCGGUAAUACGUAGGGCGCAAGCGUUGUCCGGAAUUAUUGGGCGUAAAGAGCUCGUAGGCGGCUUGUCACGUCGGAUGUGAAAGCCCGAGGCUUAACCUCGGGUCUGCAUUCGAUACGGGCUAGCUAGAGUGUGGUAGGGGAGAUCGGAAUUCCUGGUGUAGCGGUGAAAUGCGCAGAUAUCAGGAGGAACACCGGUGGCGAAGGCGGAUCUCUGGGCCAUUACUGACGCUGAGGAGCGAAAGCGUGGGGAGCGAACAGGAUUAGAUACCCUGGUAGUCCACGCCGUAAACGUUGGGAACUAGGUGUUGGCGACAUUCCACGUCGUC